GAACAUGCUUGAGAUGCACGCGUGGUUGGAUAGGACAAUUAUGUGAAAAUAAGUGUGUCAGAGGAUGGUAUGGUCUUGAUUGUAAACAAAAAUGUUCUGGCCAUUGUAUAAAAAAUGAGGUCUGCAACCACGUGACCGGUCGUUGUGAAAAUGGAUGUGCUGACGGAUGGAAAGGAAUAAAUUGCCAAGAACCAUGUAAAGGUGGAAACUACGGCCCCUCUUGUAUAUAUAACUGCAGUGGUCACUGUCUCAAUAAUGUCUUCUGUAACAAACAAACUGGACACUGCGACACAGGGUGCAAACCGGGAUAUAUAGGGAAUUUGUGUUACGCAGCAUGCAGAUUUGGAUACUUCGGAA